rnacentral:rRNA from 1 species
GGUUAAGCGACUAAGCGUACACGGUGGAUGCCCUGGCAGUCAGAGGCGAUGAAGGGCGUGCUAAUCUGCGAUAAGCGCCGGUAAGGUGAUAUGAACCGUUAUAACCGGCGAUACCCGAAUGGGGAAACCCAGUGUGAUUCGUCACACUAUCAUUAACUGAAUCCAUAGGUUAAUGAGGCGAACCGGGGGAACUGAAACAUCUAAGUACCCCGAGGAAAAGAAAUCAACCGAGAUUCCCCCAGUAGCGGCGAGCGAACGGGGAGGAGCCCAGAGCCUGAAUCAGCAUGUGUGUUAGUGGAAGCGUCUGGAAAGGCGCGCGAUACAGGGUGACAGCCCCGUACACAAAAGCGCAUGUGCUGUGAGCUCGAUGAGUAGGGCGGGACACGUGGUAUCCUGUCUGAAUAUGGGGGGACCAUCCUCCAAGGCUAAAUACUCCUGACUGACCGAUAGUGAACCAGUACCGUGAGGGAAAGGCGAAAAGAACCCCGGCGAGGGGAGUGAAAAAGAACCUGAAACCGUGUACGUACAAGCAGUGGGAGCACAGGUUUACCUGUGUGACUGCGUACCUUUUGUAUAAUGGGUCAGCGACUUAUAUUCUGUAGCAAGGUUAACCGUAUAGGGGAGCCGGAGGGAAACCGAGUCUUAAUUGGGCGUUAAGUUGCAGGGUAUAGACCCGAAACCCGGUGAUCUAGCCAUGGGCAGGUUGAAGGUUGGGUAACACUAACUGGAGGACCGAACCGACUAAUGUUGAAAAAUUAGCGGAUGACCUGUGGCUGGGGGUGAAAGGCCAAUCAAACCGGGAGAUAGCUGGUUCUCCCCGAAAGCUAUUUAGGUAGCGCCUCGUGAAUUCAUCUCCGGGGGUAGAGCACUGUUUCGGCUAGGGGGCCAUCCCGGCUUACCAACCCGAUGCAAACUGCGAAUACCGGAGAAUGUUAUCACGGGAGACACACGGCGGGUGCUAACGUCCGUCGUGAAGAGGGAAACAACCCAGACCGCCAGCUAAGGUCCCAAAGUCAUGGUUAAGUGGGAAACGAUGUGGGAAGGCCCAGACAGCCAGGAUGUUGGCUUAGAAGCAGCCAUCAUUUAAAGAAAGCGUAAUAGCUCACUGGUCGAGUCGGCCUGCGCGGAAGAUGUAACGGGGCUAAACCAUGCACCGAAGCUGCGGCAGCGAACGUAUCACCCAAGACAACUUUACGGAGUUGACGAUUGACGGAGCGAAGCGACGUCAAAGCGUUCAUUAAAGUCGAGUUGGCUUAGGGAUACGUUCGUUGGGUAGGGGAGCGUUCUGUAAGCCUGUGAAGGUGUGUCGUGAGGCAUGCUGGAGGUAUCAGAAGUGCGAAUGCUGACAUAAGUAACGAUAAAGCGGGUGAAAAGCCCGCUCGCCGGAAGACCAAGGGUUCCUGUCCAACGUUAAUCGGGGCAGGGUGAGUCGACCCCUAAGGCGAGGCCGAAAGGCGUAGUCGAUGGGAAACGGGUUAAUAUUCCCGUACUUGGUGUUACUGCGAAGGGGGGACGGAGAAGGCUAUGUUGGCCGGGCGACGGUUGUCCCGGUUUAAGCGUGUAGGUGUGUGUUCCAGGUAAAUCCGGUUCACUUUAACACUGAGGCGUGACGACGAGGCACUACGGUGCUGAAGCAACAAAUGCCCUGCUUCCAGGAAAAGCCUCUAAGCAUCAGGUAACAUCAAAUCGUACCCCAAACCGACACAGGUGGUCAGGUAGAGAAUACCAAGGCGCUUGAGAGAACUCGGGUGAAGGAACUAGGCAAAAUGGUGCCGUAACUUCGGGAGAAGGCACGCUGACACGUAGGUGAAGUGAUUUACUCAUGGAGCUGAAGUCAGUCGAAGAUACCAGCUGGCUGCAACUGUUUAUUAAAAACACAGCACUGUGCAAACACGAAAGUGGACGUAUACGGUGUGACGCCUGCCCGGUGCCGGAAGGUUAAUUGAUGGGGUCAGCGCAAGCGAAGCUCCUGAUCGAAGCCCCGGUAAACGGCGGCCGUAACUAUAACGGUCCUAAGGUAGCGAAAUUCCUUGUCGGGUAAGUUCCGACCUGCACGAAUGGCGUAAUGAUGGCCAGGCUGUCUCCACCCGAGACUCAGUGAAAUUGAACUCGCUGUGAAGAUGCAGUGUACCCGCGGCAAGACGGAAAGACCCCGUGAACCUUUACUAUAGCUUGACACUGAACAUUGAGCCUUGAUGUGUAGGAUAGGUGGGAGGCUUUGAAGUGUGGACGCCAGUCUGCAUGGAGCCGACCUUGAAAUACCACCCUUUAAUGUUUGAUGUUCUAACGUGGACCCGUAAUCCGGGUUGCGGACAGUGUCUGGUGGGUAGUUUGACUGGGGCGGUCUCCUCCUAAAGAGUAACGGGAGGAGCACGAAGGUUGGCUAAUCCUGGUCGGACAUCAGGAGGUUAGUGCAAUGGCAUAAGCCAGCUUGACUGCGAGCGUGACGGCGCGAGCAGGUGCGAAAGCAGGUCAUAGUGAUCCGGUGGUCUGAUGGAAGGGCCAUCGCUCAACGGAUAAAAGGUACUUCCGGGGGAUACAGGCUGAUACCGCCCAAGAGUUCAUAUCGACGGCGGUGUUUGGCACCUCGAUGUCGGCUCAUCACAUCCUGGGGGCUGAAGUAGGUCCCAAAGGGUAUGGCUGUUCGCCAUUUAAAGUGGUACGCGAGCUGGGUUUAGAACGUCGUGAGACAGUUCGGUCCCUAUCUGCCGUGGGCGCUGGAGAACUGAGGGGGGCUGCUCCUAGUACGAGAGGACCGGAGUGGACGCAUCACUGGUGUUCGGGUUGUCAUGCCAAUGGCACUGCCCGGUAGCUAAAUGCGGAAGAGAUAAGUGCUGAAAGCAUCUAAGCACGAAACUUGCCCCGAGAUGAGUUCUCCCUGAGACUUUAGGUCUCCUGAAGGAACGUUGAAGACGACGACGUUGAUAGGCCGGGUGUGUAAGCGCAGCGAUGCGUUGAGCUAACCGGUACUAAUGAACCGUGAGGCUUAACCUU